GAUGAACGCUGGCGGCAUGCCUAACACAUGCAAGUCGAUCGGUAAGGCUCUUCGGAGUACACGAGAGGCGGACGGCUGAGUAACGCGUAGGAACACACCCUGCAGUUAGGGAUAAGACACCGAAAGGUGUUCUAAUACCGCAUACGGUCUUCGGAUUAAAGCAUUUAUGCGCUGAAGGAGUGGCCUGCGUCAUAUUAGAUAGUUGGUGAGGUAAUGGCUCACCAAGUCGAUGAUGUGUAGCUGGUCUGAGAGGAUGAUCAGCCAGACUGGAACUGAGACACGGUCCAGACUCCUACGGGAGGCAGCAGUGAGGAAUAGUUCACAAUGAGCGAAAGCGUGAUGGAGCAAUGCCGCGUGCAGGAUGAAGGCCCUCGGGUUGUAAACUGCUUUUAUAAGAGAAGAUUAUGACGGUAACUUAUGAAUAAGGGACGGCUAACUACGUG
rnacentral:rRNA from 1 species